rnacentral:rRNA from 1 species
AUGCCGUGCGCGGGCGGCGGGAGGGAUGGCCGAGGGGGGCUCGAUGGCCGUAGGGGGAACAACGAGUCGUGUUGCAAGCGCCACAACGAUGUGGAGGCCGGGAGCUCCUCCCUCCGCCCGCUGGUGGAGGAAUGGCGCACCCGCUUCCGCAGCGCCGGAGCACGGGCGUGGAGGAACUUCAACCGCCUUGACCGCAUCUUCUCCCCCACGCUCAAGCGUCGCUGGAAGGCGGAGAAGGUGUGGUUCGAGGCCAAGGAGGCCGCCAACGCCGGAGAUGAAGCUGCAGCGACGCAGGUGGAGGCACUGUUCGAGGAGUACCAGUUCGCGCAAGUCCUCUCCAACACCCUCAUGGAGUACCACCUCCACGGCAACCCGCCCCGCGACGAUGGCGACGAUGAGUAG